rnacentral:rRNA from 1 species
AACGAACGCUGGCGGCAGGCCUAACACAUGCAAGUCGAACGCCCUAGCAAUAGGGAGUGGCGCACGGGUGCGUAACGCGUGGGAAUAUGCCCUUCACUGCGGAAUAACGUUUGGAAACGAACGCUAAUACCGCAUAAUGACUCCGGUCCAAAGAUUUAUCGGUGAAGGAUUAGCCCGCGUUAGAUUAGCUAGUUGGUGAGGUAAUGGCUCACCAAGGCGACGAUCUAUAGCUGGCCUGAGAGGAUGAUCAGCCACACUGGGACUGAGACACGGCCCAGACUCCUACGGGAGGCAGCAGUAAGGAAUAUUGGACAAUGGGCGAAAGCCUGAUCCAGCCAUGCCGCGUGAAGGAUGAAGGCGCUCAGCGUUGUAAACUUCUUUUGGACGGGAACAAUAUCCCCGACUUGUCGGGGCUUGAGGGUACCGUCAGAAUAAGCACCGGCUAACUCCGUGCCAGCAGCCGCGGUAAU